GACGAACGCUGGCGGCGUGCCUAAUACAUGCAAGUUGAGCGCUGAAGGUUGGUACUUGUACCCACUGGAUGAGCAGCGAACGGGUGAGUAACGCGCGGGGAAUCUGCCUUUGAGCGGGGGACAACAUUUGGAAACGAAUGCUAAUACCGCAUAAAAACUUUAAACACAAGUUUUAAGUUUGAAAGAUGCAAUUGCAUCACUCAAAGAUGAUCCCGCGUUGUAUUAGCUAGUUGGUGAGGUAAAGGCUCACCAAGGCGAUGAUACAUAGCCGACCUGAGAGGAUGAUCGGCCACAUUGGGACUGAGACACGGCCCAAACUCCUACGGGAGGCAGCAGUAGGGAAUCUUCGGAAAUGGACGAAAGUCUGACCGAGCAACGCCGCGUGAGUGAAGAAGGUUUUCGGGUCGUAAAACUCUGUUGGUAGAGAAGAACGUUGGUGAGAGUGGAAAGCUCAUCAAGUGACGGUAACUACCCAGAAAGGGACGGCUAACUACGUG
rnacentral:rRNA from 1 species